UCCGGAAUGGUGUAGUGGCUAGCAUUUCUGCCUCUCAUAAAUAUAUAAAAGUGGUCGCAGGAGACCGGGGUUCAAUUCCCCGUUCCGGAA